rnacentral:rRNA from 1 species
AGAACGAACGCUGGCGGCAGGCUUAACACAUGCAAGUCGAACGGUUGUAGCAAUACAGCAGUGGCAGACGGGUGAGUAACACGUGGGAACCUUCCUAGGGGUACGGAACAACUCAGGGAAACUUGAGCUAAUACCGUAUACGUCCGUGAGGAGAAAGAUUUAUCGCCCCUAGACGGGCCCGCGUAGGAUUAGGUAGUUGGUGAGGUAACGGCUCACCAAGCCUACGAUCCUUAGCUGAUCUGAGAGGAUGAUCAGCCACACUGGGACUGAGACACGGCCCAGACUCCUACGGGAGGCAGCAGUGGGGAAUCUGGACAAUGGGCGCAAGCCUGAUCCAGCCAUGCCGCGUGAGUGAAGAGGCCUUCGGGUUGUAAAGCUCUUUACCAGGGACAUAAUGAACGGUACCUGGAGAAUAAGCCCCGCAAACUUCGUGCCGAGCAAGGCCGC